UGGUGGUAAGAUGUAGUCUUAUUAAUAAAAUAGUGAUUAUUAUGACUGCUUGUGAAAAUUAUGUCGAUUUUGACUAUAUCCAUGUCCACGACCAUGACUACGACUAUGACCACGACCAUGAAUUUUAUUAAAUGUUAUCUCUUCACUUCAGGGAAUGGAGCAUAACCAGAUAGAUGGGUUUCAUGGUUUUUCAACAAUACUAUGUCACUUCUGGUGGUGAUAUA
rnacentral:misc_RNA from 1 species